GACGAACGCUGGCGGCGUGCUUAACACAUGCAAGUCGAACGGAGUGGCGAACGGGUGUGUAACACGUGGGUGACCUGCCCUGCACUUCGGGAUAAGCCUGGGAAACUGGGUCUAAUCCCGGAUAGUGUGGGCUGGGCCCGCGGGCUAUCAGCUUGUUGGGGGGGUAAUGGCCUACCAAGGCGGCGACGGGUAGCCGGCCUGAGGUGGUGGACGGCCACAUUGGGACUGAGGCACGGCACAGACUCCUCCGGGGGGCAGGAGUGGGGACUAUUGCACAAUGUGCGGAAGCCUGAUGCAGCGACGCCGCGUGGGGGUUGCCGGCCUUCGGGUUGUAAACUCCUUUCACCAUCGACGCGGUAGAUGGAGUAGAAGCACCGGCUAGCUCCGUGCCAGCAGCCGCGGUAAUUC
rnacentral:rRNA from 1 species